rnacentral:tRNA from 1 species
CUCUCGGUAGCCAAGUUGGUUUAAGGCGCAAGACUGUAAUGUGAUUUAAUUGUAAUCUUGAGAUCGGGCGUUCGAAUCGCCCCCGAGAGA